UGACAGCGGCAGGCCACAUAGGCAACGAAGCUGGUGCAUGCAGUGUCUCUGGUCAAGGUUAUGCAACCUUCAUCUCCUCGUCCUCCAGGCAGCACAAGCCAUUGUGGAAUCUCCACCGGGUGUACAGAAUGGUGCCUCUGCGUCCUGCCACUCAGGACCUCUCGAGUCCCCAAUGUGAUGACUCCUCAGCGUCAUCAGGAGAAAUUCCAUGAUCUUGCUUAUUCCUGUCUUGGGAAGUCCUUCUCCAUGUCUAACCAAGAUCUAUAUGGCUAUAGCACCAGCUCUUUGGCUCUCGGCUUGGCAUGGCUGAGUUGGGAGACCAAAAAGAAGAAUGUACUUCAUCCGGUUGGGCUGGAUUCCCUCUGAUAAGCCUUCCCAGUUGACUGAAAGAUGAGGCUAGGCUCUAGCAAGU
rnacentral:sRNA from 1 species